rnacentral:rRNA from 1 species
GAUGAACGCUAGCUACAGGCUUAACACAUGCAAGUCGAGGGGAAACGACAUCGAAAGCUUGCUUUUGGUGGGCGUCGACCGGCGCACGGGUGAGUAACGCGUAUCCAACCUGCCCACCACUUGGGGAUAACCUUGCGAAAGUAAGACUAAUACCCAAUGAUAUCUCUAGAAGACAUCUGAAAGAGAUUAAAGAUUUAUCGGUGAUGGAUGGGGAUGCGUCUGAUUAGCUUGUUGGCGGGGUAACGGCCCACCAAGGCAACGAUCAGUAGGGGUUCUGAGAGGAAGGUCCCCCACAUUGGAACUGAGACACGGUCCAAACUCCUACGGGAGGCAGCAGUGGGGAAUCUUCCGCAAUGGCCGCGAGGCUGAACCAGCCAAGUAGCGUGCAGGACGACGGCCCUAUGGGUUGUAAACUGCUUUUAUAAGGGAAUAAAGUGAGUCUCGUGAGACUUUUUGCAUGUACCUUAUGAAUAAGGACCGGCUAAUUCCGUG